rnacentral:lncRNA from 1 species
AUUUAAAUAAAACAAUACGGGCAUUCCUAGGAAGAAUCAGAACAUACAGAUGAAAGAAUGGAACUUCUCAAUACUUCUAAGCAAUCAUUGCAUUCAUAGGUGGGAAUAAUGGCAUAAUUAAAUCAACCAUAGAGCAAAAAUUAGUGUAAUUAAUUUCAAACUAGCUUUGCUCCACUAGAGAAUAGUGAAUAUAGUACAAAUUUAUAUAUACCUAUGUGCUAAACGGACCAAUGGCUUCAUUCCCUACUUCCAACAUGGUAUAGUUACCACUUCAUAUACUGCAAGAGUACAAAAGCUGCUGCGGUAUUCACUCAUGUAAAGUGUUUGAACCAUGAGUAGUCAUCAAAGUAAGCAUCUCCAUCACCUCUGAACCUAACACGAAAGGAAAUCAGUUAGGGGAGAAACAAUGACUUUUAAAUAAAACAAUGACUUUCAGUUAGGCAGGCUACCAUCUUCAUAACUGACAUUAUUCAGGUUAAUGCUUACCAGAACUUUGCUCAAAGUAUGCACAACAGACGGAACUAAACACUUCCAUUAAGAAUUUAUUCAUUUAAGUUACUUCUGGGCAGAUUAAAGUAUGUGAAUUUAUGAAUCUAACGAACCAAAUAGGUCUCUUGAACUUACUUUCUACAGAUUACUAAUUAAAUAAAACAUCUGAAUCUUCAUGUAAAAAUAUAAAUGAGCUCAUUUUUGCACUAUAGUGUCAGAGGAGAAUUCAGUUCUAAAUGUGUUCGCCACUGCAAGAAUAAAUAAUAUGCAGGCGCAUUGGAAAAAGAACACAAACAGGAAUCCGUUUUGAAUCUAACCUCACAGAACUUUAUCUAAGGUUUCCUCUUAUUCCUAUAACACAUAUUUGGGUACAGUAGCACAUGAAAUAUUGGUCCAGUCAACAAUGAACAAACAAACCUAAGAAACAUCCCUACCGUGAUUCUUAGAUAUUCCUUUAACUUUUAUGAGACUGGAUUCAGCUAUUCAUGAGUAAAAGCUCAAAACCAACAGUUGAGGACCUCCUAUUAAGCUCAGUUUAAGUGUAUCUUUAACCCAGGCGGGAAGGAGAAGAAAUCAUAGAACUCAGACCCAAAAAUCAGUUAGUAGCUAGGUGUCAGUUGGGCUCAACUGGUAAAACCUUUGGGUGAUGAUACCAGAGGUCUGGGGUUCGAAUCCCGCCAGCAUUACUGAGUUACUGAUCUCAUUAAAAACAGGCUUAGCAUAACAUUUUUACCAAUAAUAAUAAAAAUCAGUUAGUUGUAUAACAACAAGUUCUAUUGUCCUUGAGAACACACCACAUCUAUUACAUAAUUCAGGAGUACAAGAAAACUAAUUUUAUUGAAAAUUAUCCACUUUGGUGUUAAUUCAACAAGCUUUGAAAUCCCCACAACUAAAGGACUUGAGGUUAUGUGAGAUUGUGAGGCCUGGCACUUCCACCGAUUUCCUCAUUAGGGUACUUAGUCAUAUUUAGGAGAAAAGGGAGAAAUUAAUUUCAAUGCCUCACCCAUAUAUACUUGUUGAGACAAUUGUAUGUUCCAGGAGGCAUCAUGUUUGACGAUCAUUUAAACAUGUUUGGAAUUAUUCUUCUAAGUAUUACUACAUACUGCAUUGCAGCCUAUGCAAUGCUUUACCCUCUUUUAAUGUAGCUGUAAGCAUUUGCCUCAAGUGCAUUGAAAAGGAAAAAAUACAUAAUUCCCACAACUAUGAUAUUCAAAAAAUUAUGCUCUUGACCUCUUGCCACAGAAUUUAGAGUUACAGCUGAUGUGCGCUAAACCUAGAAUUAUGUUAGUGUCAUAAUUUAGAGAUACUUCGAGAAUAGCCAAGUCCUAAUAGGAGGGGAUCCCAUAUAAUGAGUGUUACUCCAACACAUGUUUGAACAACAUGGAAAAACUCCAUAAUAUGUUCAGAAGCAUUACACUUCAAGAGCUCUUACCAGCUCUACUUUAAUACAAUUCUCGAACAAGAACAACAUUUAAGUACAGCUUAAAAAAGACACUAGGGUACCCCUACAACUGAUAUUUUGCCAAGAAGAUCAGUGGUGGACUAUGGAGGCACAUGCCUCAGCUCCUGUUAUUUGUACAUUUUGUUAAAUUGAGACGUUAUAUCAUAUACCCUCUUCAAAUUUACCAUAAGGGAGUGGAAUUCCUUUAAGCACGCAUAUUAUUGUUGAUAGGUGACAGUGUAUUUUUUAAUUCAUGGGAAAAUAUUUUGAGAAAAAAGCAAUCACAAAGCAAAUGUAAUUUUCCCUUGAAUGAAACACAUUAUUGAUCUUAAGCAUAUUCUAAUUCUUUGGUUGAGAUUUGCUGCACUUGACUAAGUUACAAAUCUAAGCAUUUUCACACUAAACAAUUUUGAAUGCGAAGCUCCUUCAUUUGAAAGAAAGAUUCUUGUCAUCACCAAUCAAGUAAAUCUACUACCACCCACAAAUCAGAUUAGCAGAAGAUAAGCAUUCUUUAAUAACCCUAAGUUUAAAUUCAACAAAUCAACCAAGAUCUACAUCUACACUAAGUCACUAACAUUAAUAAUAAAAAUAAAAAAUAAAAAAAAAAACCACCCCAAUAAAGAAAAACAAACAAAGAAACAAGAAAAAGAGAAAAGGGAUUAUACCAUAUAUGAAGAAGCUGCUGAUGCUGAUGCUGCUCUUCCAUGUGAAGAAGAACAGAGGAGAUAGUGCCAUGGUCAGCAAAAAAUAGGGGUUGAUGAACAGAGAGCAUUGAUGAGACUUAGAGAAACCCAAAGAUCUAAUAAAACCCUAGCUUAUAGCUACCUUCUCUUCUUCUUUUUGGGAAGAAGGAAGAAAGAAACAAAGAAAGUAAAUGUCAAGACUGAAGAAAGAGAGAGACAGAGAGAACAGGUUUUUGUUCUGAUUCUCUUUCUCUCUAAAAAGUAACUACACUGUGUCUGUCUGUGGGUUUAAGAAGGGUUUUUUGUUUGUUUGUUUUGUUUUUCUUUCAAAC